rnacentral:rRNA from 1 species
CCUACGGGAGGCUGCAGUGGGGAAUAUUGGGCAAUGGAGGCAACUCUGACCCAGCAACGCCGCGUGAAUGAUGAAGGUCUUCGGAUUGUAAAGUUCUGUGAUGGGGGAUGAACACAAUGACGGUAACCCAAUAGCAAGCCACGGCUAACUACGUGCCAGCAGCCGCGGUAAUACGUAGGUGGCAAGCGUUAUCCGGAAUGACUGGGCGUAAGGGGUGCGUAGGGGGGUUGGUAAGUUGGCGGUGAAAUUCCGGGGCUCAACCGCGGCGCUACCGCCAAACAUAGUAGACUAGAGUGCAGGAGAGGUAAGUGGAAUUCCUGGUGUAGCGGUGGAAUGCGUAGAUAUUAGGAGGAACAUCAGGGGCGAAGGCGACUUACUGGACUGUAACUGACACUGAGGCACGAAAGCGUGGGGAGCAAACAGGAUUAGAUACCCGAGUAGUC